rnacentral:rRNA from 1 species
UACCUGCAGCUCGAGUGGUAACCGCUAUUAUUGGGCCUAAAGCGUCCGUAGCCGGUUUGGUAAAUAUCUGGGUAAAUCGUGAGGCUUAACUUCACGAAUUUCGGAUAGACUGCCAGACUUGGGAUCGGGGGAGGUCAGAGGUACUCCAGGGGUAGCGGUGAAAUGUUGUAAUCCUUGGAGGACCACCGGUAGCGAAGGCGUCUGACUAGAACGAGUCCGACGGUGAGGGACGAAGCCCUGGGGCGCAAACCGGAUUAGAUACCCGGGUAGUCCAGGGUGUAAACGGUGUGGGCUUUGUAUUGGAGGUCCCACGUGGGCGUCCAGUGCAGAAGAGAAGUUGUUAAGCCCACCGCCUGGGAAGUACGGUCGCAAGGCUGAAACUUAAAGGAAUUGGCGGGGGAGCACAGCAACGGGAGGAGCGUGCGGUUU